UACGAAGGGGGCUAGCGUUGCUCGGAAUCACUGGGCGUAAAGCGCACGUAGGCGGAUUGCUAAGUCAGGGGUGAAAUCCUGGAGCUCAACUCCAGAACUGCCUUUGAUACUGGCGAUCUCGAGUCCGGGAGAGGUGAGUGGAACUGCGAGUGUAGAGGUGAAAUUCGUAGAUAUUCGCAAGAACACCAGUGGCGAAGGCGGCUCACUGGCCCGGUACUGACGCUGAGGAGCGAAAGCCAGGGGAGCAAAGCGGG
rnacentral:rRNA from 1 species